AUACGGAGGGUGCAAGCGUUGUUCGGAAUCACUGGGCGUAAAGGGCGCGCAGGCGGUUUGGUAAGUCAGAUGUGAAAGCCCACGGCUCAACCGUGGAAGUGCAUUUGAAACUGUCAGACUUGAGUACUAGAGGGGAAAGUGGAAUUCCCGGUGUGGAGGUGAAAUUCGUAGAUAUCGGGAGGAAUACCGGUGGCGAAGGCGACUUUCUGGCUAGAUACUGACGCUGAGGCGCGAAAGCGUGGGGAGCAAACAGGAUUAGAAACCCUAGUAGUCC
rnacentral:rRNA from 1 species